rnacentral:rRNA from 1 species
UCGGUAUGAGUACAGUGGCGCACGGGUGAGUAAUACGUAGGUACAUGCCUUAUUGUGGGGGACAACUUCGGGAAACCGGAGCUAAUACCGCAUAAGCUCGAAAGAGGAAAGGGGGCGCAAGCUCUUGCAAUAAGAUUGGCCUACGUAACAUUAGCUUGAUGGUGGGGUAAAGGCCUACCAUGGCAACGAUGUUUAACUGGUCUGAGAGGAUGAUCAGUCACACUGGAACUGAGACACGGUCCAGACUCC